UACGUAGGUGGCAAGCGUUGUCCGGAUUUACUGGGCGUAAAGCGCGCGCAGGCGGACUGGUCAGUCCGGGGUGAAAUCUCACGGCUCAACCGUGAGCGGUCCCCGGAUACUGCCAGUCUUGAGGUGUCUAGAGGAGAGCGGAAUUCCCGGUGUAGUGGUGGAAUGCGUAGAUAUCGGGAGGAACACCAGUGGCGAAGGCGACUACCUGGCCCAUUCUUGACGCUGAGGCGCGAAAGCUAGGGGAGCGAACGGG
rnacentral:rRNA from 1 species